CUGGGCUCACCCUAUCUUAAUAGGGAACCUGCAGUCUGAAUUUCAAGCACGCUUCCUUUGAGAAUUCACAGAGAACUGCAACCCAAAGGUGAAAAUAUGUUGUGUGCCAGAAGAUUGCCUCAAUCUGCCAGUCAUGCUUUACCAAAGCACUCCACAGCCUAUCUGGUGUGGGAGAGCAGGAGAGAUGUUCCCAGCAAACAGCAGCACAAACUGAUGGCCCUGGAGUUCUACUGACAGUGCUUCCAAACACUUAUGGCUGUGAGGACAAAAGGAAUGAACGAGCUGCCUUCAGAUUAUGCUAAGCAACAGAAGCAGAGGUGCAUGUUGAUUUUGGGAGCAGAAGGAUUUCCCACGUUGCUAGUGAAGU
ensembl:lncRNA